GUGGGGAAUAUUGCACAAUGGGGGAAACCCUGAUGCAGCAACGCCGCGUGAGUGAUGACGGUCUUCGGAUUGUAAAGCUCUGUCUUUAGGGACGAUAAUGACGGUACCUAAGGAGGAAGCCACGGCUAACUACGUGCCAGCAGCCGCGGUAAUACGUAGGUGGCAAGCGUUGUCCGGAUUUACUGGGCGUAAAGGGAGCGUAGGUGGAUAUUUAAGUGGGAUGUGAAAUACCCGGGCUUAACCUGGGUGCUGCAUUCCAAACUGGAUAUCUAGAGUGCAGGAGAGGAAAGGAGAAUUCCUAGUGUAGCGGUGAAAUGCGUAGAGAUUAGGAAGAAUACCAGUGGCGAAGGCGCCUUUCUGGACUGUAACUGACACUGAGGCUCGAAAGCGUGGGGAGCAAACAGG
rnacentral:rRNA from 2 species